rnacentral:tRNA from 1 species
GCCCGGGUGGUGGAAUGGCAUACACGUGCGCUUGAGGUGCGCAUGCCUUUUGGCUUGAGGGUUCGAGUCCCUCCUCGGGCACCA